GGUGAUCUAGCCAUGGGCAGGUUGAAGGUUGGGUAACACUAACUGGAGGACCGAACCGACUAAUGUUGAAAAAUUAGCGGAUGACUUGUGGCUGGGGGGGAAAGGCCAAUCAAACCGGGAGAUAGCUGGUUCUCCCCGAAAGCUAUUUAGGUAGCGCCUCGUGAAUUCAUCUCCGGGGGUAGAGCACUGUUUCGGCAAGGGGGUCAUCCCGACUUACCAACCCGAUGCAAACUGCGAAUACCGGAGAAUGUUAUCACGGGAGACACACGGCGGGUGCUAACGUCCGUCGUGAAGAGGGAAACAACCCAGACCGCCAGCUAAGGUCCCAAAGUCAUGGUUAAGUGGGAAACGAUGUGGGAAGGCCCAGACAGCCAGGAUGUUGGCUUAGAAGCAGCCAUCAUUUAAAGAAAGCGUAAUAGCUCACUGGUCGAGUCGGCCUGCGCGGAAGAUGUAACGGGGCUAAACCAUGCACCGAAGCUGCGGCAGCGACGCUUAUGCGUUGUUGGGUAGGGGAGCGUUCUGUAAGCCUGUGAAGGUGUACUGUGAGGUAUGCUGGAGGUAUCAGAAGUGCGAAUGCUGACAUAAGUAACGAUAAAGCGGGUGAAAAGCCCGCUCGCCGGAAGACCAAGGGUUCCUGUCCAACGUUAAUCGGGGCAGGGUGAGUCGACCCCUAAGGCGAGGCCGAAAGGCGUAGUCGAUGGGAAACAGGUUAAUAUUCCUGUACUUGGUGUUACUGCGAAGGGGGGACGGAGAAGGCUAUGUUGGCCGGGCGACGGUUGUCCCGGUUUAAGCGUGUAGGCUGGUUUUCCAGGCAAAUCCGGAAAAUCAAGGCUGAGGCGUGAUGACGAGGCACUACGGUGCUGAAGCAACAAAUGCCCUGCUUCCAGGAAAAGCCUCUAAGCAUCAGGUAACAUCAAAUCGUACCCCAAACCGACACAGGUGGUCAGGUAGAGAAUACCAAGGCGCUUGAGAGAACUCGGGUGAAGGAACUAGGCAAAAUGGUGCCGUAACUUCGGGAGAAGGCACGCUGAUAUGUAGGUGAAGCGACUUGCUCGUGGAGCUGAAAUCAGUCGAAGAUACCAGCUGGCUGCAACUGUUUAUUAAAAACACAGCACUGUGCAAACACGAAAGUGGACGUAUACGGUGUGACGCCUGCCCGGUGCCGGAAGGUUAAUUGAUGGGGUCAGCGCAAGCGAAGCUCUUGAUCGAAGCCCCGGUAAACGGCGGCCGUAACUAUAACGGUCCUAAGGUAGCGAAAUUCCUUGUCGGGUAAGUUCCGACCUGCACGAAUGGCGUAAUGAUGGCCAGGCUGUCUCCACCCGAGACUCAGUGAAAUUGAACUCGCUGUGAAGAUGCAGUGUACCCGCGGCAAGACGGAAAGACCCCGUGAACCUUUACUAUAGCUUGACACUGAACAUUGAGCCUUGAUGUGUAGGAUAGGUGGGAGGCUUAGAAGUGUGGACGCCAGUCUGCAUGGAGCCGACCUUGAAAUACCACCCUUUAAUGUUUGAUGUUCUAACGUUGACCCGUAAUCCGGGUUGCGGACAGUGUCUGGUGGGUAGUUUGACUGGGGCGGUCUCCUCCUAAAGAGUAACGGAGGAGCACGAAGGUUGGCUAAUCCUGGUCGGACAUCAGGAGGUUAGUGCAAUGGCAUAAGCCAGCUUGACUGCGAGCGUGACGGCGCGAGCAGGUGCGAAAGCAGGUCAUAGUGAUCCGGUGGUUCUGAAUGGAAGGGCCAUCGCUCAACGGAUAAAAGGUACUCCGGGGAUAACAGGCUGAUACCGCCCAAGAGUUCAUAUCGACGGCGGUGUUUGGCACCUCGAUGUCGGCUCAUCACAUCCUGGGGCUGAAGUAGGUCCCAAGGGUAUGGCUGUUCGCCAUUUAAAGUGGUACGCGAGCUGGGUUUAGAACGUCGUGAGACAGUUCGGUCCCUAUCUGCCGUGGGCGCUGGAGAACUGAGGGGGGCUGCUCCUAGUACGAGAGGACCGGAGUGGACGCAUCACUGGUGUUCGGGUUGUCAUGCCAAUGGCACUGCCCGGUAGCUAAAUGCGGAAGAGAUAAGUGCUGAAAGCAUCUAAGCACGAAACUUGCCCCGAGAUGAGUUCUCCCUGAC
rnacentral:rRNA from 1 species